GGCUAAACCAUGCACCGAAGCUGCGGCAGCGACACUGUGUGUUGUUGGGUAGGGGAGCGUUCUGUAAGCCUGUGAAGGUGUGUCGUGAGGCAUGCUGGAGGUAUCAGAAGUGCGAAUGCUGACAUAAGUAACGAUAAAGCGGGUGAAAAGCCCGCUCGCCGGAAGACCAAGGGUUCCUGUCCAACGUUAAUCGGGGCAGGGUGAGUCGACCCCUAAGGCGAGGCCGAAAGGCGUAGUCGAUGGGAAACGGGUUAAUAUUCCCGUACUUGGUGUUACUGCGAAGGGGGGACGGAGAAGGCUAUGUUGGCCGGGCGACGGUUGUCCCGGUUUAAGCGUGUAGGUGUGUGUUCCAGGUAAAUCCGGUUCACUUUAACACUGAGGCGUGACGACGAGGCACUACGGUGCUGAAGCAACAAAUGCCCUGCUUCCAGGAAAAGCCUCUAAGCAUCAGGUAACAUCAAAUCGUACCCCAAACCGACACAGGUGGUCAGGUAGAGAAUACCAAGGCGCUUGAGAGAACUCGGGUGAAGGAACUAGGCAAAAUGGUGCCGUAACUUCGGGAGAAGGCACGCUGACACGUAGGUGAAGUGAUUUACUCAUGGAGCUGAAGUCAGUCGAAGAUACCAGCUGGCUGCAACUGUUUAUUAAAAACACAGCACUGUGCAAACACGAAAGUGGACGUAUACGGUGUGACGCCUGCCCGGUGCCGGAAGGUUAAUUGAUGGGGUCAGCGCAAGCGAAGCUCCUGAUCGAAGCCCCGGUAAACGGCGGCCGUAACUAUAACGGUCCUAAGGUAGCGAAAUUCCUUGUCGGGUAAGUUCCGACCUGCACGAAUGGCGUAAUGAUGGCCAGGCUGUCUCCACCCGAGACUCAGUGAAAUUGAACUCGCUGUGAAGAUGCAGUGUACCCGCGGCAAGACGGAAAGACCCCGUGAACCUUUACUAUAGCUUGACACUGAACAUUGAGCCUUGAUGUGUAG
rnacentral:rRNA from 1 species